rnacentral:rRNA from 1 species
AACUAACAAGGAUUCCCCUAGUAACUGCGAGUGAAGCGGGAAAAGCUCAAAUUUAAAAUCUGGCGGUCUUUGGCCGUCCGAGUUGUAGUCUGGAGAAGUGCUUUCCGCGCUGGACCGUGUAUAAGUCUCUUGGAACAGAGCGUCAUAGAGGGUGAGAAUCCCGUCUUUGACACGGACUACCAGUGCUUUGUGAUGCGCUCUCAAAGAGUCGAGUUGUUUGGGAAUGCAGCUCAAAAUGGGUGGUAAAUUCCAUCUAAAGCUAAAUAUUGGCGAGAGACCGAUAGCGAACAAGUACCGUGAGGGAAAGAUGAAAAGCACUUUGGAAAGAGAGUUAAACAGUACGUGAAAUUGCUGAAAGGGAAACGCUUGAAGUCAGUCGCGUCUGCCGGAACUCAGCCUUGCUUUUGCUUGGUGCAUUUUCCGGUUGACGGGCCAGCAUCGAUUUUGACCGUCGGAAAAGGGCUAGGGAAAUGUGGCACCUUCGGGUGUGUUAUAGUCUCUAGUCGCAUACGACGGUUGGGAUCGAGGACCGCAGCGCGCCGCAAGGCAGGGGUUCGCCCACUUUCGCGCUUAGGAUGCUGGCAUAAUGGCUUUAAACGACCCGUCUUGAAACACGGACCAAGGAGUCUAACAAACCUGCGAGUGUUUGGGUGGUAAACCCGAGCGCGUAAUGAAAGUGAAAGUUGAGACCUCUGUCGUGGAGGGCAUCGACGCCCGGACCUGACGUUCUCUGAAGGAUCCGCGGUAGAGCAUGUUUGUUGGGACCCGAAAGAUGGUGAACUAUGCCUGAAUAGGGUGAAGCCAGAGGAAACUCUGGUGGAGGCUCGUAGCGAUUCUGACGUGCAAAUCGAUCGUCAAAUUUGGGUAUAGGGGCGAAAGACUAAUCGA